rnacentral:rRNA from 1 species
GAGUAACANGUGGGCANCNUGCCCUGCAGANUGGNAUAACUCCGGGAAACCGGAGNUAAUACCGGGUAAUACAUCGCACCGCAUGGUGCAAUGUUGAAAGUUGGCCUUUGGCUNACACUGCAGGAUGGGCCCGCGGCGCAUUAGNUAGUUGGUAAGGUAACGGCUUANCAAGGCGACGAUGCGUAGCCGACCUGAGAGGGUGAUCGGCCACACUGGGACUGAGACACGGCCCAGACUCCUACGGGAGGCAGCAGUNGGGAAUNUUCCGCAAUGGACGAAAGUCUGACGGAGCAACGCCGCGUGAGUGACGAAGGCCUUCGGGUCGUAAAGCUCUGUUGUUAGGGAAGAACAAGUACCGUUCGAAUAGGGCGGUACCUUGACGGUACCUAACCAGAAAGCCACGGCUAACUACGUGCCAGCAGCCGCGGUAAUACGUAGGUGGCAAGCGUUGUCCGGAAUUAUUGGGCGUAAAGCGCGCGCAGGCGGUCUUUUAAGUCUGAUGUGAAAGCCCACGGCUCAACCGUGGAGGGUCAUUGGAAACUGGAGGACUUGAGUGCAGAAGAGGAGAGUGGAAUUCCACGUGUAGCGGUGAAAUGCGUAGAUAUGUGGAGGAACACCAGUGGCGAAGGCGGCUCUCUGGUCUGUAACUGACGCUGAGGCGCGAAAGCGUGGGGAGCAAACAGGAUUAGAUNACCNCNNNGNUGGGUAGUCCCACGCCGUAAACGAUGAGUGCUACGGUUGUUNGGGGGGUUCCACCCUCAGUGCUGAAGUUAACACAUUAAGCACUCCGCCUGGGGAGNNNNCCNNNNNNNNUACGACCGCAAGGUUGAAACUCAAAGGAAUUGACGGGGGCCCGCACAAGCAGUGGAGCAUGUGGUUUAAUUCGAAGCAACGCGAAGAACCUUACCAGGUCUUGACAUCCUCUGACAAUCCUGGAGACAGGACGUUCCCCUUCGGGGGACAGAGUGACAGGUGGUGCAUGGUUGUCGUCAGCUCGUGUCNUGAGAUGUUGGGUUAAGUCCCGCAACGAGCGCAACCCUUGAUCUUAGUUGCCAGCAUUNAGUUGGGCACUCUAAGGUGACUGCCGGUGACAAACCGGAGGAAGGUGGGNAUGACGUCAAAUCAUCAUGCCCCUUAUGACCUGGGCUACACACGUGCUACAAUGGACGGUACAAAGGGCAGCGACNGCGCGAGGUGAAUCAAAUCCCAUAAAGNCGUUCUCAGUUCGGAUUGNANGCNGCAACUCNNCUGCAUGAAGUCNGAAUUGCNANUAANCGNGGAUAACCCUGCCGCNGUGAAUACAUUCCUNGACCUUGNACACACACGCCCGUCACACCACGAGNGUUUGUCCCCCCCNAANUCCCNCGGNAGNACCUUAAAGAAGCCAACCACCCCCNNGUGGNAANNUGUUUGCCCCCAAAUUUUUAACAAUGUACCCG